CUUGCAACGAAUGACGACUGGCAGCUAAAGCCGCGCAGCGGACGCUGCUGGUCUGAGAGUUGCAGC
rfam:Eimeria mitis, Houghton, WGS project CBTT01000000 data, contig: Emh_scaff13681_1